rnacentral:rRNA from 1 species
CACGUAGGGCGCAAGCGUUGUCCGGAAUUAUUGGGCGUAAAGAGCUCGUAGGCGGACUGUCACGUCUGCUGUGAAAAGCUGGGGCUUAACCCUGGCCUUGCAGUGGAUACGGGCAGACUAGAGGUAGGUAGGGGAGAAUGGAAUUCCUGGUGUAGCGGUGAAAUGCGCAGAUAUCAGGAGGAACACCGGUGGCGAAGGCGGUUCUCUGGCCUACCUGACACUGAGGAGCGAAAGCGUGGGAGCGAACAGG